rnacentral:lncRNA from 1 species
AGUCAAGAUGCAGAGCUAUUUCAUCACCAAAAAGGAACUUCUUUGUGCUUCCCUUUUAUACUUUCACUACCCCCUGCAACCUGAGAGAGAAUGGGAGAAUUUAAAGUAGAAGAGUGGAAGGAUCUGAGACAAGUCAACUGGAUCAAGAACGUAGCUUAUCCAACUUUGGGUGCCCUAGAAGCCUUAGAAAAAGACCUGUGGUGGAAAAAUCUAGUACUGGCCAGCCUAUGGGACUGUAAUGAGAAGAGAGGGGACCCGGAAUUAGCUGUCCAGACCUGCCAGAUGAGUAAGUGCAACCUUAUGUUAUGUGGGGCCACAAAUGCUGGGAGGAGGGUAGCACCCAUUCCAUCAGCUGUAAGAUUAUUUAACAUGGUGUUUAAAUGUCUUCCCUGAGUCUGUAAAGUAGGAACUUCCAACAAUGUCAGGAUCACUCCCUGAGCGCUGCUCAGACACUAUGUUUAUAAUGGACGUCUUUAAUUAGUCAGUGGCAUCUUUUUCCAGUCCACCGUGAGUGCCAUUAUUACAGACACUGAAUUUAUUAGAAGGUCACAUUUCCAAAAAGCCUGUUAUUGCCAUUUUCACAUCAGAGUUCUGAUCUGUCUUUUUAUCCUUUUGGAAAUCACUUGUAAUACCAGACAGAAGCAAGCUGGACUGGAUGGGACUGUGAAAAACAAACUUCAGGAAUCCAGAGACUGUGGAGUGCUGUUUUUUUUGGUUUUGUUUUUUUUUUUUUUCAGGUAGGGGAACAAGGAUUUGAAUGUAAUUUAAAGCCAGCUCUAUUUAGGAAAGCGGAGCAAGAUGAGCCCUGUACACCAAGUUAGUGGCAGAGAAUGAUAGUCUGCCAGUCUGUCCCCUCUAUAAGUGGGUGGGCAUUUACUUUGCAGGGGUCCUGGAGGUGUAGGCUCCAUAUUAUUCAAAUAAUAUGCUGGUCAAUACUUCAUUAAAUAUUUACCCUUCCACAGUUCGUCUUUUUUUUUUUUUUUUUUUUUUUUGCUUUGCAGAUGUUGCUGAGACAAUACAUCGUGUUUCAUUAAAAAUAAAUUUUAGUAUCUGAGUAUGACUCUUUCUUAC